AGGAUGAACGCUGGCGGAGUGCCUAACACAUGCAAGUCGAGCGGCAGCGCGAAGAAUUUAUUCUUUGGCGGCGAGCGGCGGACGGCUGAGUAACGCGUGGGAACAUGCCCCAAAGUGAGGGAUAAGCAUCGGAAACGGUGUCUAAUACCGCAUAUGAUCUUCGGAUUAAAGGAUUUAUCCGUCUUUGGGAAUGGCCUGCGUACGAUUAGAUAGUUGGUGAGGUAAGGCUCACCAGUCUACGAUCGUUAAUGGUUGAGAGGUAUGAUCAGUCAGACUGGAACUGAGACACGGUCCAGACUCCGUACGGGAGCGAGCAGUGAGAUCUCA
rnacentral:rRNA from 1 species